rnacentral:rRNA from 1 species
AACGAACGCUGGCGGCAUGCCUAACACAUGCAAGUCGAACGAGACCUUCGGGUCUAGUGGCGCACGGGUGCGUAACGCGUGGGAACCUGCCCUUAGGUUCGGAAUAACUCCCCGAAAGGGGUGCUAAUACCGGAUAAUGUCUUCGGACCAAAGAUUUAUCGCCUUUGGAUGGGCCCGGGUUGGAUUAGCUAGUUGGUAGGGUAAAAGCCUACCAAGGCGACGAUCCAUAGCUGGUCUGAGAGGAUGAUCAGCCACACUGGGACUGCGACACGGCCCAGACUCCUACGGGAGGCAGCAGUGGGGAAUAUUGGACACUGAGCGAAAGCGUGAUCCAGCAAUGCCGCGUGAGUGAUGAAGGCCUUAGGGUUGUAAAGCUCUUUUACCCGGGAUGAUAAUGACAGUACCGGGAGAAUAAGCUCCGGCUAACUCCGUG